UAUAAAGUCAUCAUGUUUUUUUCAUCAGUUUCUUGUUCGUUUCAAAAUUAUGAUUUUUGUUUACUUACACUCAUAAUCUUGAAACGAACAAAAAACUGAUGGAAAAACAUGAGGACUUUAUA
rfam:Arabidopsis thaliana chromosome 1, complete sequence.